GGGGCCGUAGUGAUAAUAGCAGCACGCCGCACUUGCAAUGCGGAGGAGACGGAGCGUAACCGUCCCGCUCCACCA
rnacentral:tRNA from 1 species